UUAUAUAAGUUAUCGUUUAUUUGAUAAUACUUUACUACUUGGAUAACCGUGGUAAUUCUAGAGCUAAUACAUGCUAAAAAUCCCGACUUCGGAAGGGUUGUAUUUAUUAGAUUAAAAACCAAUGCCCCUCGGGGCUCUCUGGUGAAUCAUGAUAACUAGUCGAAUCGACAGGCCUUGUGCCGGCGAUGGCUCAUUCAAAUUUCUUCCCUAUCAACUUUCGAUGUUUGGGUAUUGUCCAAACAUGGUGGCAACGGGUAACGGAGGGUUAGGGCUCGACCCCGGAGAAGGAGCCUGAGAAACGGCUACUACAUCCAAGGAAGGCAGCAGGCGCGCAAAUUACCCAAUCCCGACACGGGGAGGUAGUGACAAUAAAUACUGAUACAGGGCUCUUUUGGGUCUUGUAAUCGGAAUGAGUACAAUUUAAAUCCCUUAACGAGGAACAAUUGGAGGGCAAGUCUGGUGCCAGCAGCCGCGGUAAUUCCAGCUCCAAUAGCGUAUAUUAAAGUUGUUGUGGUUAAAAAGCUCGUAGUUGAACCUUGGGCCUGGCUGGCCGGUCCGCCUCACCGCGUGCACUGGUCCGGCCGGGCCUUUCCCUCUGCGGAACCCCAUGCCCUUCACUGGGUGUGGCGGGGAAACAGGACUUUUACUUUGAAAAAAUUAGAGUGCUCAAGGCAGGCCUAUGCUCGAAUACAUUAGCAUGGAAUAAUAGAAUAGGACGUGUGGUUCUAUUUUGUUGGUUUCUAGGACCGCCGUAAUGAUUAAUAGGGACAGUCGGGGGCAUCAGUAUUCAAUUGUCAGAGGUGAAAUUCUUGGAUUUAUUGAAGACUAACUACUGCGAAAGCAUUUGCCAAGGAUGUUUUCAUUAAUCAGGAACGAAAGUUAGGGGAUCGAAGACGAUCAGAUACCGUCGUAGUCUUAACCAUAAACUAUGCCGACUAGGGAUCGGACGAUGUUACAUUUUUGACGCGU
rnacentral:rRNA from 1 species